AUUGAACGCUGGCGGCAUGCCUUACACAUGCAAGUCGAACGGCAGCGCGGACUUCGGUCUGGCGGCGAGUGGCGAAUGGGUGAGUAAUACAUCGGAACGUACCCUGUUGUGGGGGAUAACUAGUCGAAAGAUUAGCUAAUACCGCAUACGACCUGAGGGUGAAAGUGGGGGACCGCAAGGCCUCACGCAGCAGGAGCGGCCGAUGUCUGAUUAGCUAGUUGGUGGGGUAAAGGCCAACCAAGGCGACGAUCAGUAGCUGGUCUGAGAGGACGAUCAGCCACACUGGGACUGAGACACGGCCCAGACUCCUACGGGAGGCAGCAGUGGGGAAUUUUGGACAAUGGGGGCAACCCUGAUCCAGCAAUGCCGCGUGUGUGAAGAAGGCCUUCGGGUUGUAAAGCACUUUUGUCCGGAAAGAAAUCGCGCUGGUUAAUACCUGGCGUGGAUGACGGUACCGGAAGAAUAAGCACCGGCUAACUACGUGCCAGCCGCCGCCGUAA
rnacentral:rRNA from 1 species